rnacentral:sRNA from 12 species
UGACCGCCCUUUCCCUCCGGAAAGGCGCUAAGGCCAUACGGACAGCCGGGUCAAAUGCCGA